UAUGUGUUGGCAGAAAAUUGUGUUUGCUUUAGGAGCUUUUUAUGUGGUGUUUCCACACGCAUGA
rnacentral:tRNA from 1 species